rnacentral:rRNA from 1 species
AUUCCAGCUCCAGUAGCGUAUAUUAAAGUUGUUGCAGUUAAAAAGCUCGUAGUUGGAUUUCUGGCAAGGCAGAGCUAACCUGGUACUAUGUAUCGUGUGUUGGACUCGGUCUGCCAUCCUUCCAGAAAAGCAUCAUACCCUUCAUUGGGCCGUGGUGAUAGAUCUGGAACUUUUACUUUGAAAAAAUUAGAGUGUUCAAAGCAGGCGUUACGCUAUGAAUACAUUAGCAUGGAAUAAUAAUUUAGGACUUCAGUUCUAUUUUGUUGGUUUCUAGGACCGAAGUAAUGAUUGAUAGGGAUAGUUGGGGGUGCUAGUAUUCAGCGGCCAGAGGUGAAAUUCUUGGAUUCGCUGAAGACUAACUUAUGCGAAAGCAUUCACCAAGGAUGUCUUCAUCG